rnacentral:snRNA from 1 species
GGAUGUGAGGGCGAUCUAGCUGUGACAUCUGUCACCCCAUUGAUCACCAGGGUUGAUUCGGCUGAUCUGGCUGGCUAGGCAGGUGUCCCCUUCCUCCCUCACCGCUCCAUGUGUGUCCCUCCCGAAGCUGCGCGCUCGGUCAAAGAGGACGACCUUCCCCGAAUAGAGGAGAACCGGUCUUCAGUCAAGGGUGUGCGAGUAGCUGUGCUCCCCUAGUAGAACCUCCAAACAAGCUCUCAAAAAUGGGGUUUCUCCUGUGACCAGCAAAACACAGGGAGUUCUUAAGACAUGCCUUG